UUGGAUGAGCUAUUGUACCAAAAGCUUUUCCAAAUGGGGUAAAGUCCGACAGCAAUCUUCUUUUCAGUCUGCUCCUUGAUCACUCAGCAAGUACUAAGAUGUUUCAAAGGUUAAAAUUUCACCCUUCUCCUUCUGCUGGUUCAAGAUAUAGCAAUUUGAAAACCUCAGCAAAAAAAGAAAGAAAGAAAGAAAGAAAGAAAGAAAGAAAGAAAGAAAAAGUGUGGGUGGUGUAUAAAGGAUUUUCAACAAAAAGAACAGACAAGGCAGGAAUAUAUAGCACAAAACUCUGUGGGAGAGAAUGAGUCAUGGAAAAUUAAAAAAUUUGAAUUGCCUCUGGCCUUUCCUGACAACCUUAGAAAGCACUGAGGAAAAAAAUUGAUGGAUUCAUUUUUAAACAAUCCUAUUUGAAGACUUCUGCUCAGAUUUCAACAUCAAGGGAUAAAACAAUCUUUCUACUUCUCAAACGUGAGUUCUUCUAGUAAUGCUUGUAGUUCUAAUUUAAAUAGUUUAGACUGACUAUGGGAUAAAAUACAAGUAUGAUGAAUUUGAAGUCUCUUGCUAAAACAAGUGCAAAAUGACAGUGGGACUAUAAGCUUUAGCCCUCUAUUUCUGAAUUAUGAAGCUAAAGGUGGUUGUGAGAUCAAAUGCAUUUCUGGGAUACAAUGUAGCACCAAACUGGUUGUUGAGGAUUAAUAUUUCUA
rnacentral:lncRNA from 1 species